GUCUGGGAUCUUGGGGCCAGUGGAGCAGAAGCGCAGGAGGGGCCGGUGUUGCCGGGUGACUGGUCCUGAGAGUUUGGAAAGUGGGGAGGGUGAAGUUGGCACCCGCUGGAAAUCGCUGGGAUGUGGACAAGUAGCGCCCUUCUCCGCUGGCAGAUGCACACCCCGCCCCCGACCGGCACCUCCUUUGGCCCCUUUGGAGAAGGAGCUGCCCCGGAGUCUGAACUGUUGAGUGGUGGCUCACCUCUUAGCGCUGUUCUAGGUGCCCACGCGGCAGAGGCAAGAGGACACGGCAGCCCAGCCGACAGGUGGCUGGUGAUGCCAAACUUCAGCUCUGGGCUCCGCAGGGAAGGGCCCCGAGGAGGCUCGGGAGGACGCACCGGGGGAGGGCACAGGGGGUCACUGAGGGGUCAGCGGGGCGCGCUGGGCCUGCAGGCUACACGGGAAGGCGAGUUUCUGAGAACUGAGCUGGCUCAGUCUUCAGUUCGAAAUAGACAGAACACGAGACACUCCUUCGAUUUACCUUCAUCUUUUGCCAGGACGGGCAAAAGCCCAGCCCCGGAUCUCCAGUGACCCUGGCUCCUAGGACUUAAAAUGAAUCCCCCCAUUGCUUUCAAACAUUUAAGUUAAUAAUUUUGUUGUAUACAUAGGGAUCUUCAGAUGGAGAACAAUAAGUUCUAGAUUUAUGUCUUGAGUGUCAUUCAAGGUGUCAGUCCUUAGAUCCUUGAGGCGCUGGAUCAAAGGGUAGUUAGGUCCAACUGACUAAGGCAUCGCUUAAACAGGAGAAAUUAUAGGAGAAUCUUUUCUUGUUGAAAAGAUUUUCCACCUAGUAAAUUAUAGUCUGUUAUUCUUCAGGGUAUUUUUCUUUAAUCUCCUUAAGACAUUUUCCAGUGUCUGAAAACAAUUUAAAUAUUCCAGGUAGAGAAUCCAAUUACUUAGCAGAGCUGGUCUGUGUCUGUAUUUUGGAAGUGCCAACAGGACUUAGAGGCUGAGUCCACAGCUUUCCUGAAAGCUCAUACCAAUUAUUAAAUGCUGUAGGCAACCUUUUACUAUGGACUUUACACCUUUCUCCUCUGUCCUAGUCUAAUGACUGGAUGUUUUCUGUAAAUGGAAUAUAGUAGAAUCUAAACAAUAAGUUCAGCCACAGAUGAAAGGCUUUAUUUGUGUCAAGGAGAAACAAAGACAAUGGAGUUCAGCAACAAAUAAAAUAGUCUUGCCCUUUUGGAGAUCCUUAGAUAGAGAGCUGAUGUGAUGAUGGGUUUAGUGAGAAAAAGAAUGAAGAGUAGAAGGAAAAGAGAGAGAGACUUUGCAGGAUAGAGAAGGAUAUUCCAGUAUAAGCUCUGGAUUUAUUCACAGCCANNNNNNNNNNNNNNNNNNNNAGUAAUGAUCCACAAUGUCUUGUUUGGAAGAAAAUAUGAGUGUCACUGGAAGUGACAGUCUUCCUUAGAAACGCAUUUUGAUACAUCCAGGUAGAUAAUUUUUAUUAUGUGCAUUUAUGUCACAUAUAUUUCUUUCUUACCUACUAAUGCCAGGCCCUGGACUAGAGCCUGGUGUGAUACAGAAAGCAGUAACCCUUCUGCUGACCUUUUAGCAGACCUUAUAGCCUAGGUGAAGGAGAAAAAAAUGUUUUCGAGAGGACCAGUGAUAUAGAGAGUGAGGGAUGCACGGAGAGUGUUGGAGAGCCUGCCAGUUGAAUGCCGCCUGCAGAUGCUAAGAAGGGCUCCCUCUGAGCAUUGAACAGUGAGUUUCUGGGACGGCCCUGUAGGAGGACUGCGGGGACUAAGGAGAGGGCCGGUGGAAUCUCAGAGUUUUCAAAGGCGAGAACCCAGGCUGCACCCAGGAGUCAAGUUAUCUAGAAUGCAAUGAUGUCUAGUCAAGUUGUCUAGAAUGCAAUUCAAGUUCCUUGUCUGGCCUUCUUGGUCUCCAUGGUGAUCUGUGGAGUGAGAGAACCCAGACUUUCUUAGGAUGGUUUUUCCUUUCCCUAGAUGUCACCCUUCUCCUCUUCCCAGUUCAUAUUUGUUCUUCUGGGAUCAAACCAGUUUUGAUUAUCUGGCUAAUUAUAUUGCAUAUUCAUGAGACUGUGUGUUGAAGACAAUGGAGAACUAGAUUUUUCAGUCCAUGAGUACCUUCUGAUUCUUUUACCAGUCAGCUGUGUGACUUUAGCUUAGUCACUUAACCUCUCUGAAUCUUCACUGUGUCUUGCACAGACUGAGAGUGCUACAUUUCCUACCUGUUUCGUCUGAAAGUUGGCAGUAGCUGAUAGUGUACUUCUCACACUUGAGCAUACUUAAGAAGGCUCUGGGAACCAGCCUCAAUUUCUGAUUCAGAAGGUUUGAAAUGAGUCUGGGAAUCUGCAUUUUUCAUAGGAUUUUGAGAAUAGGAUCAUUUCUCACCAGAUCUUGAGAUCUGGUGCUACUGGUUUGGGGAACCACACUUUGAAACCACUGAGAUAAGAUUUGUCGGAAAAACAAACAAACAAACUUGGAAAGUAUGGUAGAGAGCAUAAUCUUGUUGGCUUGCAUAUAUUUCCACUGGUUUGUUGAUUUCAUUUUAUCUCUGUGUUUGCAUUUUGAGAAUUCUUCCAACUGUUACCUUUGUGCCUACGCACAGAGUCGGACACGACUGAAGCGACUUAGCAGCAGCAGGAGGUAGAACAAUCUCAGUAACAUAAUCAUGGAUAAUCUUUUCAGAUCUUCCGGGAUAUUUUAGGAAAGGUCUCUGAUGCCCAGGUUAAGUUAACUCACAUUCAUGCAUUUCUUUUGAAUUUAUUAUAGUCAAUGAAACGUUUUCAGCAUUUUCAUCUGCUUCUAGUGGGAGUGUUAGAAAAGGAAAGGAAGCAGAGAAGCGUUUUGAGAGGCUGUCUAGUCUGACUUCCUGCCUUUGAGCAGGGGAGGCUGCUGUGUUUUUCCUUUUGGCUCUGACUUUGGGAAAUGCAUGCUGCCCCCUUCCCCCAAGGGUGUGCCCCAUCUGCUAACGAGGAAAAAUAAAUGCUGGAAAUAAUUUAAAAUACCUCAAAUAUCUGACCUCACUUAAAAAUUGUAAACCCUCUUCUCUGAUCUUUAAGAGUAAGGAUGGGCAACUCAGAACAGAUUUUCAUAACCCAUUACAAAGUUUAAUGGUACAUUUGAAAAUGAUGCAUUUGGAGCUAUUUAGAAUUGUGAAGAGAUUAUCCCUUGUUCCUUGAGUGGCUAAAGAACCGCAGUCACCAGUCCUGCUGUCCUGACCCCCAUAUAGAACAGAAGAUGUCACCCAGAGGUUGCAGUGCCCGCAUAGUCUGUUGGCUACCUACCAAUGUCAUGGUGAGGCUGUGGAUACUUUAAGAGUGGUAGUUAAAAGGUUUGACACUGGAGUUAACCAAUCACAGCAGACAAAAAGUGGGGGUGGAGCUGGAACCGGGUCCUGGAGAUAUCCUGUUCCAUUAGGGCCAGGUAUUAACCUUUCUUUUGCCCAAUCAUGGGAAGGCCUGGGGGUCCCCAGUGUCUCCAGGGGCAAAUGGAAAUAUUUCCAUUUUUGAACAACUGUUCUUGUUCAGUCUCUAAGCUGUGUUCGACUCUUUGUGACCACAUGGACUGCAGCACGCCAGGCUUCCCUGUCCAUNNNNNNNNNNNNNNNNNNNNNNNNNNNNNNNNNNNNNNNNNNNNNNNNNNNNNNNNNNNNNNNNNNNNNNNNNNNNNNNNNNNNNNNNNNNNNNNNNNNUAUGAUUUGCAAAUAUUUUUUCCCAUUUGGUAGGUUGCCUUCUCAUUUUGUUGAUGAUUUCCUUUGCUGUGAAACUUUUUAGUUUGAUGCAGUCCCGUGUAUUUAUUUUUGCUUUUAUUACCACAAAAUAAAUACAUAGGACUGUUGUUCAGUUGCUCAGUCAUGUCCAACUCUUUGUGACCCCAUGAAUGGCUGCACACCAGGCUUCUCUUGUCCUUUCCAAAGUUUUCUCAAACUCAUGUCCAUUGAGUUGAUGAUGCCAUCCUGCCAUCUCAUCCUCUACCAUCCCUUUCUCCUGCCGUUAAGGUCUCAGGGUCUUUUCUAAUGAGUCCACUCUUCACAUCAGAUGGCCAAAGAACCAGAGCUUCAGCUUCAACAUCAGUCCUUCCAGUGAAUAUUCAGGAUUGAUUUNNNNNNNNNNNNNNNNNNNNNNNNNNNNNNNNNNNNNNNNNNNNNNNNNNNNNNNNNNNNNNNNNNNNNNNNNNNNNNNNNNNNNNNNNNNNNNNNNNNGUGGCCAAAGUAUUGGAGUUUCAGCUUCAACAUCAGUCCUUCCAAAGAAUCAUUUCAGUCAGUUCAGUCUCUCAGUCCUGUCCAACUGUUUGUGACCCCAUGAACCACAGCACACCAGGCCUCCCUGUUCUUCACCGAUUCUCAGAGUUUACCCAAACUCAUAUCCAUUGAGUUGGCGAUGUCAUCUAGCCAUCUCAUCCUCUGUCCUUCCCUUCUCCUGCUUUCAAUUUUUCUGAACAACAUGGUCUUUUCAAAUCAGUCAACUC
ensembl:lncRNA